rnacentral:tRNA from 1 species
GGUUGUGGUUCAGUGAUAGAGCGCUUGUCUAGCAUGUGUGAGGCACUGGGUUCGAUCCCCAGCAUCA